UGCAAGCACUGAAGAAGGCAUCGGUAAUGGGGUUUAUCUUGAUGAGCCAAUUGGCAUAAAUGACCCAAUUGCUUCGGUUCAAAGCUCACCUCCUACUGCCCUGUACAAUGUUCCUCUUGAAAGCUUAACUGUAAUCGAGGCCACAUAUCUUGCGAAAGGUCCUACUACACCUGCUCCACAUCCUCCUCGUAUCCCAACUUCACCUAAGGCCGCCCAACAUGCUCAGAGCACACCUUCGCUUGAGGCUCCACCUCCAUCUCCAGUCGAAGAUGCACAAGUAAGCAUGACUAGUAAAUACCUUUAAAGCCCAUAUGUUAGCCUAUUACUAGUCUAACACAAAGUGAAAGAUGAAUUAAAGGACAAAUAUGAGUGCUUCAUGAAAAACGAGCAAGCCAGGUUAACAUUCUAGGCAUCGAAGGGUAGGAGGGUCCUGAAUUUUUUCAUCAUUUAGAGAUGCAAGAUGAGUGGUUAAACAGCUAACACAUUGAUGCAUGCAUCAGCAUCAUGUGCAAGCACGCGCGCAAACACCAUUCUCAACUGUACAAGCAGAAAAUAUGCAUUCUUGACACCAACUUAUAUGUCUAAACCGUGAACUACGCCCUCUACCGACUGAUAAGAUAUUCAAGCCGAGGAAUGUAGUUUUGCCAAAACAUUUGAUUGAGUAUGUAAGGGGUGUGAGUCCGUCAAGGGGAUUACCAUGGCAUAAGGUGGACUUGAUUUUGGUACUAUGCCAUUUUGCAGGCCAUUGGGUUUUAGCACAAAUUAGCUUGGUAAAAUGGAGUAUGACAUUAGUUGACUCCUCCUACAGUUGACGAACAGAAAUUUGGUCCAACUUGCAAGAUCAGUAAAUAGGUGCCAUAAUUGCAUCGUUUCCCAUUAUAUGCCACCAGAGCGGGUUCUUUGACCGCGUGCAUCGUCAAAAAUGACCUUAGACAUGGAUGAGUUGGGUAUUAAAUGAACAAACCCCUAUACAGAAAGAUGGGCACAGUUGCAUAGAUUAGGUAAUCACUGCUAAAUAGUGGAUGAUAAGUAUGGCCAACCAAACCUUAAAAGCAAAUACUAUUGAAGGCCUUCGAAAAAGUUUUGCACAAGAGAUUUUUGCAAAUAGUGUGGACACUUAAGUUUGUAAAUUUGUUUAU